AAAAGCCAUUCCCCAGCUCAGAACAAGCAGCUGUCCUUGAUCUCCUGUCACGUGUCAGUGCAAAGGUCAUGCAUGCCGAAGCCAGAGUUCUUAACAUGGGUCCAUGAGCCUGUCUGUUGUACAUUUUCAAGGAGAGAGGCUCACAGCUUUCAGGCUCUCAAAGGGCUUUCAAAUGCCCAGAACAUUAAAAACCAUACAAUAAAGAAUAUUCUGCUUGCACAUGAGGCAGACCAGGGAGAGAAGAAAUGAGGAGAUGCUCUUCACAUCAGCUUGUCCCAUCAGUGCCCUGUGAGCAGAGCCUGGAGACACCAGGGGCUGCCAAGGCCCUGACUUUAGAGCCAGGAACCCUUAGGAACCUUGGGCGGUCUGGCCAGCGUUGCUCAGACUCCUGGAGCUGCUUGAGGGGAAGCUGUCGCUGCUGUGAAGGCAACUGACCCCAGCUCUAAAGGGCUUCCCUCCAGAGGGACUUGAAAAAGUCCUGAGCAACUUGCUGACAGGGGAAGAAAGGCUUCUUCCAACGCUCUUCAGAGCUGAGCUGGGACAUAAGGCCACUGCAGCCCUGGACCAAUCCUGGAAGGCCCUGGGGCAUGAGGUGGUACCUACAUGCCCCCACAGCCAGACAGGCUAUUUCUCACUGCUAGAGCAGUGGCAAAUGAGGGAGCACUGUGACGCCCAGCAUGGAGUGCUGUUUUCACCGUCCAGCAGAGCCCAAGCGGACAAACGAGAGACGAUGGAAGUCCCUGGGCCCCUCCAGGGCACAAGGACUGAAAGCCAUUCAGCUCAUCACUACAGCCCCUCCCAGGACUGCAUACAUCAAGUGGGCCCACGGGCUCCAGCUGGUUGGGUGACCUCACAGGACAAUGCAGUUUAAGUCUUUGUCCUAGGACUCCCCAAGAGGGAAGCAUAUCCUGUUGGUGGGUGCCUGCUUCUCACUGAAUACCAGAGAGAAUGAAUGCUGUGCCUGCUUUCCCCCUGCAGAUGUCAGGAAAACGGGAGGCCUUAAUGUACUUUCUGGGCUCCACCAGCAGGCUCACAUGGAUUUAUCCGAAGAGGGAAUUUAAAUGGUUGGAGCCAUGUGCUCAAGCUGUCACUUUCCCAGAACCCCCUUCCUUACAUUUAUACGUAUGUACUUUUUGUUUUCUAAUAACAAAAGUAAUUUCAGCUAAUUCUGGGAAAAUUGGGAAAAGCUAAGAAGAAAAAGAGAAAAAUAAAAAACAAAGCGGAGAAGAAAAUCCUAAAUAUAA